rnacentral:rRNA from 1 species
AUGCUUGCAUUGCAGAAAUCAAAGCAGUGGAUGACGCUUAGGGCAAAAAAACUGAAGGAAGACAUAUGUAUGUUGUUUAAAUCCAGCAAUGACACAGUGGUAAAAAUGUCCUUAGUGGAUAAACUACAACAUCUCGGAAUCGAUCACCUCUUUGAAGACCAGAUUGACACCGCUAUGUGGCAAAUCCUGAAGAGUGAAUUUAGUAACUACAACCUCUAUGAAGUUGCCCUUCGGUUUCGCUUGCUGAGGGAACAUGGAUACUGUGUAUCUCCAGAUGUUUUCAAUCGAUUCAAAAGUGAAGAUGGAAGCUUCAUUAAUGGUAAUGGUAGUUUAAAGACCCCACUUGCUCAACAAGUCCAACGUGCCCUUCAGAUACCAAUGCCAAGGACAAAUAAGAGGGUGGAAAUGCUACAUUAUAUCCUAGAGUACGAACAAGAGGAGCAUAACCCAAUCCUACUGGAGCUUGCCAAAUUGGAUUUCAACCUUCAGCAAAAUGUCCACUUGAAGGAGCUCAAAGCUAUUAUCAGGUGGUGGAAGCAUUUUUUAGGAUAUAUCGAGCUAAGCUUUAUCCGCGAUCGUGUGGUGGAGGGUUAUACAUGGGCCUCUGUGUUGUACUAUGACACAAAAUUUGAGCUCACUCGAAGUAUGAUCACAAAGAUGAUUGUACUAAUUACCACAUUAGAUGACAUAUAUGAUAACCAUGCCACCCUAGAGGACAGUUGGAAGCUACAUGAAGCAAUACAAAGAUGGGAUAAGAGCGCCGCUUUUCUCCUGCCGGAGUACUUGAAGAAGUUCUAUAUGGAGAUGCUGAGGACAUUUGAGAAUAUUGAGGCUGAAAUGCUAGCCAAUACGAACUACGAUAUAGCACACCUGAAAAAAGCGGUCCAAAAUAACGUGACUGGUUACCUACAAGAAGCGAAAUGGUCACACAGGAACCACAAGCCAAGCUUUGUAGAUCAGGUCAAGUUGACUAGUCUGAACAUUGGUGUGCCAACGAUAUGUGUGAGUAUGAUGGCUGGAAUGAGUGAUGCAAUGAUGAAGACAGCGCUCAAAUGGGCUGCUAGUGUCCCGGAUGUCGUCAUAUCAGUUGGGAAGAUUUCCCGUUUCAUGAAUGAUAUCGGUGCAUUUGAGCGUCGAAAAUGCAAGGGGGAUAUGGCAAGCACUGUAGAGUGUUACAUCAAUGAGUACAACGUGACAAGUGAAGUGGCCAUUACCAAAACUGUUGCCCUGAUAGAACAUGAAUGGAAGACCCUGAACCAAGCUCGCUUUCAAAAUCAUCUCCCUGCAUUGCAGCAGUUCAUUAGCUUAGCGAUUAGCACAACAUUUUUUUAUGGUAACAGAAAUGAUAUAUACACUGGGUGA